CGCCCAGUCCAGCCUCCCUCCUGCAAGAACCUGAAGUCUGACAGCCAGCUCCCACCCGCAACCAGCCAGUCCCUCCGCCUCGCUCUGCGCUUUCUCGGGCAGCCGGGAUGGACUGCAGGGGCCUCGGCUGCUGUGUGCGGUGAGGGGGUAGGGAGAGGCGACAGGCCGCUCGGAAGACGGCUGAGAGCGUGCGGGGCGACCGCGCCCUGCUGCCUCGGCCUGGGCUCACCCGCGCGCCCCGAUGACCUCGGCUCGCGGUUCCCACGGUACCUGCGGUGGAAGCGGCAGCGGCAAUAGCCGCGCUCCCCUAGCUUCACACAGACAAUAUGGCGGCGGCGGAGGAGGAGACACACGGCUCGGCCGCCAGCCGCAGGGACCAGAGCGAGGCUGCAGCCUCCGCUGCCGGAAGCGGAAGCCCCCUCCCAACCAGAGGCGGGGCGGAGCCGGAAAAGGCGGAGGCGCCCCGCCCUCGGAGGCUCUGACUUAGCGCAGCCCCCGCCGACUGGCUUUAUAUCAUCUGGGAGCGUUCGGUGACUUGGAAGCUGAAUGGAAUGCUCUUCGUAAGGUUUAAUAGGAUUCUAACAGAGAAGCGCAUUUAAGUCAGAACCUGUGAUAGGUGACUAGACAAAACUUCAGCGUCCCAUCAGGCAUACAAACGAUGGUUUGACACAGCCGAAGAUGGCGUGUUUCCUGCACUACGCCUAGCGAGAGAGCGACCAGCCGGCAAGUCCCGAAGCAUGCGCGACCUUUCGCGCGAAGCAUCCUGGGAGCUGAAGUCUCUCAUGCCCGGACCCCUAGUCUAGGCUUAGGUUUCCAGCAGCACUUUUUUUUUCAAUCCUCAAACUUGGGAGUUUAGAUUAACGAAAGUUGGGUACCGUAGAGGGCGUGACUCUAGAGUUUAGAAUCUAGAAAAAGAUAGUAAUAACCCUCGAGAGAACAAGGCCCCAUUCCUUCUAUGGAAUCCUACCCAGAACUGUCAAUUCAGAAUAUCAUAGGAUUUUCUAACCUUUCAAUCUGCCCUCAUCCUCACUCUUGCGCUCUUUUCCUGCUCCAAACAGAAACGGGGCACUUUCUGCUAUGCAUACUGGAUUAUGUUCUUUUGUUCAAAUUUCUCCUGUGGAUUCUCAAAAUUCUCUCUUGUGCAACCAGAGAGAAUUCUAUUUAGUACCCAUCCCACCCACCCUCCCACCCCAAAACUUAGCCAGAUCUCUUUUUAGUCUCUUGCCUUCUCUAAAGUUCCUGAUGUUUCCACUCACUGAGACUGCAAAUAACCCUGUAUCUUGGCAGUAUCGCCUCCCCUUCUUUGAACUGUUACAAUUACUUUGUGGAUUGGAUAACUUGUA
rnacentral:lncRNA from 1 species